rnacentral:rRNA from 1 species
GCUAAUACCGGAUAACAACAUGAAUCGCAUGAUUCAAGUUUGAAAGGCGGCGCAAGCUGUCACUUUAGGAUGAGCCCGCGGCGCAUUAGCUAGUUGGUGGGGUAAAGGCCUACCAAGGCAAUGAUGCGUAGCCGAGUUGAGAGACUGAUCGGCCACAUUGGGACUGAGACACGGCCCAAACUCCUACGGGAGGCAGCAGUAGGGAAUCUUCCACAAUGGACGCAAGUCUGAUGGAGCAACGCCGCGUGAGUGAAGAAGGUCUUCGGAUCGUAAAGCUCUGUUGUUGGUGAAGAAGGAUAGAGGCAGUAACUGGUCUUUAUUUGACGGUAAUCAACCAGAAAGUCACGGCUAACUACGUGCCAGCAGCCGCGGUAAUACGUA